UCUGCCUGGUGGCACUGUUGGCGAAAGGAAUGAGCUCACUCACAGAAACCGCUGACAUGUAGCGGGCCCUGGUGGGGCUGAUUUUCCUGCUACCAUCCCUUGGAUCCUGAUUAUAUGAUCCCCCACCCCCACCCCCCACCCCCGAAGGGAGGGAGACAAGGACUGGCGCUGGCCUCAUCACCAGGUGCAUGAGCAGGGAGCUGGAUCAGAAGCAGAGGAGCCGGGACUCGAACCAGUACGCUGAUAAGGGAUGCUGAAGUCUCAGCCUAUGUGGUCUGGGUAGAGUUUCUGGAGAAGACUUGAUCUUUCCUGUGGAACUUGGACCUGAAAGGAUGUGAGGCUGGGGCUGCUGCCAGCACCGCUACUCUCUGGAAGAGGGAAGAAAUGAGAGAGGCAGAGCGUCUAGGUCUUGGAAAUAUCACGUGGGGCCUGGAUCAAGCUGCAUCUGAAGCCAGACCUACACCUGGACUUUCCAGUUACGUGAAUCACUAAGCACUGGUGUUCUUAAACUGGUUGAUCUAGAUUUUCUUAACAACCAAAGGAUCGUUCUGUCCCAAGCCUGGUGCUGGCUAUACAAGAAACUGAGGACAGUGUCCAGGGGGCAGUGUGUACACUGUGUCCACACCUGAUUAAAUCAGACUACAGACAGAAAGACGUAGGUGGGUUACAGGAAGGGAGGCAUGGUGGAUGGGUAGAUGGA